rnacentral:siRNA from 1 species
AAGCUGAUGGUGAGUUACUUGAG